CUAUUUUUUAUUAUUGUACAUCCGUAUGUACUUACAUCGAUUAUCUUCGCACUGGUGUCUACAUUGUGAAAUGUGAAGGCAGUGAUGAAUAUACUUAUAUAAGUAUAGAUACUAGAUAAGUAUAGGUACUAGAUAAGAGAGAGAGAGAGAAAGAGAGAUGAUCAAAAGUUAUCCUAAAUGACGUCUGAGACGUUUUCUUUCGCGUCUGUCAGAAAUAACUUAAUAUAUACUUUACGUAUUCCAUACUUUGUACACUGCGGUGAAAUUGUACGUCAUUCGUACAACGUACAACAAAGGGACAGAGAGAGAGAGCUGCUGUUAUAGAUAAGGAAAUAAAAAUCAGUUCCGUAUUGUGUAUACACUGUGUACCGAUGUAAUUUACAAAAGAGCACGGGUGUUGGAAAACAAUAAAAUGCAAUGCCUCCGAUACCCCGGGGUAUGCGUAUCAUGUUGUUCAUUGUUUCCGUUAAGUACGCUAUCUGGAGUAUUUACUACUUGGACACCUCUGCUACUGUGCUGACUACGUCAGAAGAACAAGCAACUGCAUCAGUUACAAAAACAUCAGGAGCAGAAGAGUCUUGAAGAGUAAAGCUAUCAUGAGGUGAGAGUGUCAAAAAAUCAAUAAAGAAAAUCAGUAUGUAUGGAGAGGGAGAGCUGGAAGUCUCCGAAGGAUGGAGGUACAUUAGAGACUUGAGCACAACGACAGAUCCUAACACAAGUUCCGGUGUUCGAGAUGAGGAACACUUUUGUAAAUUGAUACUCUACAAGGAAAUACAAGACACUAGGAUAAGAAUAUGGGAUGUCAUAAUUUUAAUACCAAAUCUCUUAUUCCUCCUAUUCAUCAUAGCGAGAUUCAAUAGAGCCAGGCUCAAACUUAGAGCAACAAGCAGUCCCAUAUACCUAGCUUUUUACGGUCUCGUCGUUUGCAGUAUUGUGAUAUCAGUUAUUCGCUGCGUUGUGUCAAUGAUGGUCAAUGCAGCCGGUGAUGUUGGUGGUGUGGUAGACAAAGUGUUGUGGGUCACAGUCAGGUUUUUCUUGCUCUCCACUGAAAUGAGUGUUGUCAUAUUUGGCCUUGCGUUUGGUCACUUGGACAGUCGUUCUAGCAUACGCCGAGUCUUGUUGGCCACGUCCUUUAUAGCCCUGAUUUUUACCAUAAGUCAAGGAACUCUCGAAUUUAUUUUGCCGGAUGACACAUUCCGCAUACCUAGCCGAGAUUUUUAUGUUUUCGGCCAUGGAGGAACGAUGUUUUGGUUUUGUAGCAGCAUCGUUUUUACAACGAUCUAUCUAUUCAUAUUGAUACUACCUUACACGAGAUUACGAGAGAGACUAACACUGCCUUCUCGUAAGGGUUUUUACGUAUAUGCUGCCCUCCUCGCAAUGAUGAAUUUAGUUCAAUCGGUAGGAGCUGGCCUUUUAAACUACACUCAAAAGCUCGAGGGAUUGUGCGUCAUCGAUUUCACUGCUGUACUAUACCUGACUUUGUUCACGCCACUAGUUUACCAUACGUUCCUUUCGGAAUUCCUUGGAGUAUCGCAGCCAUCGAUAAUGUUCUCCUACAAAGCCCAGGUGGACGACACAAUGGACGAGGACACAGUGUCACUGCCGCACCAGCAGAGCUUCUCCUCGCUCAAGACGGACAGCGACUACAUUUACCAGGUCCAUACCCCGCGUUUUCACGCUCCGCUCUUUCACUCCCAGUGCCUCGCGAAGCCCUCCUUUUCCAAAUCCAACCGCUUGAAAAGCAGCUCCUCACACGCGACUCUGCUCUACCACGAGUACUCGGCCCAGCGACGCCUGCACCCUCAGUCUCGGCUCAAUGUUCAGACCAGCGCGCCAGAUUUAAGACUGACAGCCUCCAGCCGCACGAUAGCCGACAGUCAAGAGAACAAGGACGAGGCAGCGAGUGAUUCCGAUUUGCUCUUGUCACCCAGCACUGCUAGUGAAUUCGUUUUCGAGCCCCAAGAAAACCACAGCAAAGCCAAUUUGUUUCCCUGUGGUUACAAAAGUGACAGUGCCGUCGAGGAGGCCAGAGGAAGAGCUCGGCGCUUUGCUGACGCAGCUGGGCCAAGUGAAAACGUCAGCAGUGGCUCUAAAGACAAGCCGAGGUUGUCAGAGUCAGGAGAGCAAGAGUACAAGACUGAGGAGAAAAAGUCAGGCGCGGGUGUGAGCGAUUAUUUGAGACACGUGCGAAAUGAAGAAAGCAACGAUGGUGCGGACAGUAACGUCCAAGUUAUGCUUUCGCAAAAGUCGAAGAAACCGUCCGCGGACUCUUUGUCGUCGUCCUCUUCGCAAAGCGAGGCGCUGUGAACUGAAAUUCGUUUAUUUUCCACAAGACUGACUUUGUUUGUGCGAACGGUGCUUUAGCUGUUUCGGUGCUUUGUUGUUAUAUUUUCAAAAUUAUCCUGUGCUUAGCCACAGCGUGUACGACUCAACGCAGUUCGAUAUGAACUCGACGCCGAUCAAUCCAUUAUACGCAGCAU
rnacentral:misc_RNA from 1 species